rnacentral:rRNA from 1 species
GAUGAACGCUGGCGGCGUGCCUAAUACAUGCAAGUCGAGCGAAUGGAUUAAGAGCUUGCUCUUAUGAAGUUAGCGGCGGACGGGUGAGUAACACGUGGGUAACCUGCCCAUAAGACUGGGAUAACUCCGGGAAACCGGGGCUAAUACCGGAUAACAUUUUGAACCGCAUGGUUCGAAAUUGAAAGGCGGCUUCGGCUGUCACCUAGGGAUGAACCAGCGUCGCAUUAGCUAGUUGGGGAGGUAACGGCACACCAAGGCAACGAUCGCGUAGCCGACCUGAGAGGGUGAGCGGCCACACUGGGACUGAGACACGGCCCAGACUCCUACGGGAGGAAGCAGUAGGGAAUCUUCCGCAAUGGACGAAAGUCUGACGGAGCAACGCCGCGUGAGUGAUGAAGGCUUUCGGGUCGUAAAACUCUGUUGUUAGGGAAGAACAAGUGCUAGUUGAAUAAGCUGGCACCUUGACGGUACCUAACCAGAAAGCCACGGCUAACUACGUGCCAGCAGCCGCCGUAA